AGCAGCCGCGGUAAUUCCAGCUCCAAUAGCGUAUAUUAAAGUUGUUGCAGUUAAAAAGCUCGUAGUUGAAUUUCGGGAUCAAUAUAUCGGUCGUGCCUUUGGUACGUACUGGUAUCAUUGAUUUCUCCUUUCUGACGAAUCAUGAUGUCAUUAAUUUGGUGUUAUGAGGAGUUAGGACUGUUACUUUGAAAAAAUUAGAGUGUUUAAAGCAGGCAUUAGCUUGAAUACAUUAGCAUGGAAUAAUGAAAUAGGACGUUUGACCCUAUUUUGUUGGUUUUUAGGAUCGACGUAAUGAUUAAUAGGGAUAGUUGGGGGCAUUAGUAUUCAAUUGUCAGAGGUGACAUUCUUGGAUUUAUUGAAGACUAACUACUGCGAAAGCAUUUGCCAAGGAUGUUUUCAUUAAUCAAGAACGAAAGUUAGGGGAUCGAAGACGAUCAGAUACCGUCGUAGUCUUAACCAUAAACUAUGCCGACUAGGGAUCGGAUGAUGUUAAUUUUAUAAUGACUCAUUCGGCGCCUUA
rnacentral:rRNA from 1 species